rnacentral:rRNA from 1 species
GCAACGACUCUCGGCAACGGAUAUCUAGGCUCUCGCWUCRAUGAARAACGUASCGAAAUGCGAUACUUGGUGUGAAUUGCARAAUCCCGUGAACCAUCGAGUCUUUGAACGCAAGUUGCGCCCGAAGCCAUCAGGCCGAGGGCACGUCUGCCUGGGUGUCACGC